rnacentral:rRNA from 1 species
UGGGGAAUCUUGCACAAUGGGGGCAACCCUGAUGCAGCGACGCCGCGUGAGCAAUGAAGCCCUUCGGGGCGUAAAGCUCUUUCGACCGGAACGAUAAUGACGGUACCGGGAGAAGAAGCUGCGGCUAACUACGUGCCAGCAGCCGCGGUAAUACGUAGGCAGCAAGCGUUGUUCGGAGUUACUGGGCGUAAAGGGUGCGUAGGCGGUUUUCUAAGUUCGGUGUGAAAUCUCCCCGGCUUAACUGGGAGGGUGCGCCGAAGACUGGGAAGCGGGAGUGUGGGAAAGGCAGGCGGAAUUCCUGGUGUAGCGGUGAAAUGCGUAGAUAUCAGGAGGAACACCGGCGGUGUAGACGGCUUGCUAGACCAUAACUGACGCUGAGGCACGAAAGCGUGGGUAGCAAACA